AAAAGUAAAGCCGUUAUGCAGCUUUAGGGUCCUAUUUUAAAAAUCUAAGCACAAGACGUGAAGCGCCUGGCGGAGGUGCAUUUAGGGCGUG